GACGAACGCUGGCGGUGUGCUUAACACAUGCAAGUCGAACGGUAAGGCCCUUCGGGGUACACGAGUGGCGAACGGGUGAGUAACACGUGGGUGAUCUGCCCUGCACUUCGGGAUAAGCCUGGGAAACUGGGUCUAAUACCGGAUAGGACCACUGCCUGCAUGGGUGGUGGUGGAAAGCUUUUGCGGUGUGGGAUGGGCCCGCGGCCUAUCAGCUUGUUGGUGGGGUGAUGGCCUACCAAGGCGACGACGGGUAGCCGGCCUGGGAGGGUGACCGGCCACGCUGGGACUGGGGUACGGCCCAGACUCCUACGGGCGGCAGCAGUGGGGAAUAUUGCACAAUGGGCGCAAGCCUGAUGCAACGACGCCGCGUGAGGGAUGACGGCCUUCGGGUUGUAAACCUCUUUCAGCACCGACGAAGCGGAAGUGACGGUAGGUGCAGAAGAAGGACCGGCCAACUACGUGCCAGCAGCCGCAGUAA
rnacentral:rRNA from 1 species